AUGUGUAAACAGUGGCUAUGGUGGCUCAAAGGGAAGCAGCGGCUGCUCCAUGGAAACACGCAACUUAGUGAUGUACUUUUUGUUUCUAGAUUUUGUUCACUCUCAUUAAAUUUUAAGCAAGAAAAUCCGCUACCCUGCAAAAAGUUCUUCCAACAAAUAUUUUUGUGUGUGCAGCUAAGAUCAAUCUUCCUAUUCAUUCAUUGCACGCUGUUAUUCUGUAGGACCGGCGAAGUGCAAGGUCAUGUACAAAGGAUAAGCUUGUCAAUGAAGGAAAUUCUAAAAGAAAGCGACUACAAGCAACAUUUGAAGGUACAGCUUGUAUUAUGUUACUUCAGAAAUUAA
rnacentral:rRNA from 1 species